ACCUGACUGGCUUAGUCGGGAAAGCAUGUGACUCUUGAUCUUGGGGUUGUGAGUUCAAGGCCCACUUUGGGUA
rnacentral:tRNA from 1 species